GACGAACGCUGGCGGCGUGCCUAACACAUGCAAGUCAGGGAGAAAAGGGUAGCAAUAUCCUGAGUAAACCGGCGGACGGGUGAGUAACACGUAGGUAAUCUACCUUGGAGUUUGGGACAACCUCGCGAAAGCGGGGCUAAUACCGGAUAACCACGAAUCGGUUCUCAUGAAUCGGUUAUCAAAGCUUCCGAGCGCUUCAAGAUGAGCCUGCGUCCGAUUAGCUAGUUGGUGAGGUAAUGGCUCACCAAGGCUACGAUCGGUAGCCGACCUGAGAGGGUGAUCGGCCACACUGGGACUGAGAUACGGCCCAGGACUCCUACGGGAGGCAGCA
rnacentral:rRNA from 1 species